CUCACUCAACGCUCCUCCACGUGCUCUGCCAACGAGAUCCACCGACGCCACCCCCACCAACUCAAAGUUUGUGCCCGUCCUCGACCUGGCGGCGUGGUCAAUGGUCGUUGACGAUGUAGAUGCUAGAGCCCGGGUUGGGGGUGGCGGCCUUGCUGGCAAAGCGCUGCGUCGAGGCCUGGAUUGGGGCGCGGCCUUGCUAGAGGAGAAAGAUGGAUGGGAGAAAGGAAGAAAAAAAAAUCUCGCUUGUAGGUUUUGAAUCUUCUUCUAGAGUUCCUACCUCCUCCAAUAAUGCAAGCAGCAGGCAGGCAGGCAAAGCUGCAGGGGGCUAAUGAAUGGCAAUGAAGACACCGUCCAUUAAUUCUCCACCGACCUGCUGCCGCUCUCCUCAUCUCACUCUUUCUUCAGCUCGCGAGCUUGCAGCCACUCCUUCCCCCGCCGGCCAGCUUGCAGCAGCAGCUCUCCUCUCCCGCCGGCCGCCGCCAGUCCGCUAUCCCCAUCUAUUUUCUCACAAACACCACACCAGUACGUGCCCCACUCCACCGCGCCUCCGCCGGCCGUUCGUCUCUCCCUCUCGCUCUGCGUUGCGCUCCGUCAAUCAGAAUCAGGGACCCCCUUUCCUUAUCCGUCUCGGCUCGGUUCUCUCUGUAUUUUAUCGGGGAUCUAGAAUUCUAGGGUUCCCCUUCCUGCAAACAACCGAGGCAGGCAGGCAGAUAGAUCCGCCUUCUCCUGUCCCUGCAACUGCAAGCUGACCCACCCAGACCCAGGUAGGCAGGUACCUCCAUCGCCUUCGCUAUCUCCAAUCUGGGAAGCUGCUGCUGCUGCUGCUUAUGUGGAUCUGCACUCUGCGGAUUCAUCAUUCAGUUGAUCGCUGCUCUCCGCCAGACCAAUUUUUUAACCACCAUUUUGCUGCCCCAGGCUCGCAGCACAGCAAGGUGGGCCAAAUCAGAAUUACUGCUUUCUAUUUGCAUUAGUUUGUUCUCUAGUGGCAUAUAUCCAGAUAUACUACUUCAUCAGCCCAGUGGCAAGGUGCGCCGGCUCGCCCCCAGACGGCGAUUUUACGCGCCCCUUGGGGGGCCAACGGCCGGAGAUGCUCUAAACCGCGCAACAAGGCUACCGGCUACUCAGAUGGGUCUCUUCGCCAGCUAGCUGCUCCUGACCCAAGGCCAAGGGUUUGCUGUGUCUGCAAUGUCUGGCUGCACACCCAUUUGUUAUAUCUUGUAUUUUGAGCAGGUCCAUAUACCCUAUAUAUAUACACGCCCACAAACCUCAGCAAUAACACAUCAACAAUUCCACCAACUCUAUUCUCUUACACUUUCAGAUCAGAAUUAAUUGCUAUACAGCUGCCUACCAGCUACUCUUUCACAGCAAAGGUUGAAAGUGAAAACAUGGCAAAAGAACAUUUCAGACAACGUACGAUGAUACGAGAAUACUUAGUUAAAAUGAAUAUGCACAUAAAUUCUUCUUCUACACGUCAGCCUUGUGCUGGGAUCGGUGGGUGAACUCAAAGUCAAUGUUGACGAAUGUGUGUUCACGCAUGCCCGGAAUAUAUUCAAAGUUCUUACCGAGUAAUGUGUGAGAGGACAGACACUCAGCGGGAGACGCGGGAGAGGUGCUCUCUGGGUGAUUCAACAAUCGCCUGGCUGUGCUAGGGGAAAUGUGUACUGGGUUUUCAUCUCAGGCUCCGUUGCUGGGAGUUAUUAGAAGUUUUGAGGAUAUGUUAACUGGCCUCACUUUUGGGAACCGGAUCCUCUAACAUUAAGAAGGAAAGUUAGAGAAGCUACAAUCCCCUAACUUUACUUCUUGCAAUCCAUAUGAUUAAGGCUAAAAUGAUUUAAAUUAAUAUAUAAAUUACAGAUUUAAUGUGUAAAUUCAUAAUCAUUACAUACAAACAAUUUGAUGGUGAAAUAAAAUUAAUUAUAGAUUAUUUAUAUCUACAGUAAAUAUCAAUAAUAAAUAAUCCGCUAAACGUCUCUAACAUUCCUUCUUCAUUUUACACUACGAUUACACUAUAGCAUCGUGACUUUGCUUCUCUAAGUUAGAGGAUUUCCUCACUUUUGUGGGUCUACCCUGGUCUGUAAUAGAUAGGUUGGAACUAAGUAGGUGCUGUCAGGUUUUCGCCCCAUGGUGCUCGUUUCGAUGGCGGGCGAGCACAGCGGGUUUCCUGGCAGUGCGUUGAACUCGCUGCCUCUUUUCCUUCUCUCACUGAUUGUGUCGGAUACUGUUGUAUUUCCGUUUAUUGCAAAUGGAAAGGGGCAUGCCCGGUUAAAAAAAAAGUACUUACCGAGUAUGCAUUAAACUAUGAAAAGUCCUAAAUGCAUAUAAAUAUAGCCCUAGAUUUCAAAUUCCAUACCUGUGUUUCCAAACAAUUCUAUUUUUAUAUCAAGUACGAAGAGUCGAGAGUGUGUGUGAUACCGUCAGUGACAGAGGUUCUACGUGACUGCCUCCCAUCAGAGACUGAGGUUAUCAAGCAAAUGGGUUUGACGAUGGGUAUGCCCUCUUCGUGGUUUCCUGGAGACUGGAACUAACAUCUUCUUCCCUUGCCCUACUGUCCAUUUUCUUUGGUGCUUUGCCCGACAUGAGUGAAUUUCUGGAAACUCGGGUCAACCGACCGGGAGGAGGAAAUGCCUCUUCUGGUUAGUGUUUGCGGUGAUGAUAUGAACUAUUUGGACGACGCGCGCGUAACAAGAUGGUUAUCGAGCGAGUGUUUUUACGGUGGGCCACUAAUUGCAUUUUCAAAUUUCUAGCACUUUUACAAUAUCAUCGCCCACUCUCUAGACCGUCUUGCCUGGAUGAUGGACGCAUUGACUUCGGCAGCACGCCGUCCUUCUCCUUCAGCAAGCCACUAAUCUACUGACCCUUUGUGGCCUAUCUCUUUUAUUUGGGCAUGUUGAAGUUGUUGCCCCAACAGAGACCUUUCUUGUAUUUGAACUUGGUGUAUGGAUUUGGUGGUUGCUUUCAAGAGAGAGUGUGAUACCAGCCGGUUAUUGAACCUCAGAAUUAUGAUGGGUGCAUUUAACCAGAAAUUCAGAAGAGCCAAGGAUCCAUAGACGCCCCACUCUACAAUUUUGAUUAUUAUUUUUGUGUUGAAGACAAGCAGCUACACUCUAGAAACUUUUCA